UGCUGAAUAGCCUGCCCUGCCUCUGUUGCUGCUGUUUUCUCGCUGCUGUUGUCCUCUGCCUAUUAGGAGCUUGCCAUAUGUGCGCCUAAACCUCAGGAAGGAAGGGACACCGGCCACAUGAAGCCCUCCCUCUGUUCAACCAAGUUAGGCCUGUUUCUCAGACUGUCACUCACCGUCAGCUGCUAACCCAGUGGCAAGUGCUCCCAGAGGCAGGAGAGGACCCAGGGAGAGAUGGAAAGCCAAAGGCCUCCCCACCUGCCAUGGGGGCGGGGCAGGAAACGGGUUCUGGAAGGAAAGGAAUGAAAACAUACACAUCAGAUUCAUCCAGAUGCACCAAUCUCAGCAGCCAGGCAGCAGCAGGAGGAGGCGCAGCAGUGUCUGACAGCUCUGAAGUUUCCGCCUGGUUCAGGAAUCCUGGAAGUUUUCCCAGAGUCCUCUGCGCAUGCUGGAAAAAUCUGCUUUGAACUUCCUGAUGAGCCAGUUGGAGCAUGAAGGAUCUGGUUGAGUCUUAAAAGCCUUAAUACUGAGGCUUAAAUUCCAGUGUCUGUGUGAGUUAGGAUUGCGGGUUACUGAGCACCCUCGGCUGAAGAACAAUCAUGCUCAUCCCGUGUGUCUGCAAGCCCACCUCUCCCUGCCUCUUGUGCCUUCCCCAGCCCAAUCCCCAGCAGAACUCUAUCCGUAAGGGCUAUUGUGCCCAUUUCAUGGAAACACACAGUUGGCAAGCAGCUGCUACACCCACCACAGAUAAAUCUCAUAAACAAAACGCUAAGUGAAAACCACUAGAGUUAAGAGAAUAUGCAAUGUGUGAUGCCAUUCACCCAAAGCGGGUUCAACUGUUCAAAGGCAAAAUCAUGGUUAUCUUUGAGGGUGUGGUGGGGAGGUGGGAACUGAAAAGGGCAUGAAAAAAGUCUUCUGGGUUCCUGGCAAUGAUCUGGUUCUUGAUGUAGGUGGUGGCUACACAGAGGUUUCAUCAUUUCAGAGAUUUCCCUUGCCAUUUGAGCACUCUCUCAUACUUCAAUUAGAAGCAUCUGUUCUAAAAAUUACUAGGUAUUGUGUCCACAAAGUUGUCCUGCAAGUGGCAUAUCCAUUUCAC
rnacentral:lncRNA from 10 species